AACGAACGCUGGCGGCAUGCCUAACACAUGCAAGUUGAACGAACCCUUCGGGGUUAGUGGCGCACGGGUGCGUAACGCGUGGGAAUCUGCCCUUUGCUUCGGAAUAACAGUUAGAAAUGACUGCUAAUACCGGAUAAUGUCUUCGGACCAAAGAUUUAUCGGCAAAGGAUGAGCCCGCGUAGGAUUAGCUAGUUGGUGGGGUAAAAGCUCACCAAGGCGACGAUCCUUAGCUGGUCUGAGAGGAUGAUCAGCCACACUGGGACUGAGACACGGCCCAGACUCCUACGGGAGGCAGCAGUGGGGAAUAUUGGACAAUGGGGCGAAAGCCUGAUCCAGCAAUGCCGCGUGAGUGAUGAAGGCCUUAGGGUUGUAAAGCUCUUUUACCAGGGAUGAUAAUGACAGUACCUGGAGAAUAAGCUCCGGCUAACUCCGUGCCAGCAGCCGCGGUAAU
rnacentral:rRNA from 1 species